CAGCUGCUUACACCAGGGCUAAACAUGACCCCCUGGCUCUGACUGGCCUCUCCCUAGCUCCUUCUCAGCUCCUUCUCCCCUGCA